GACGAACGCUGGCGGCGUGCUUAACACAUGCAAGUCGAACGGAAAGGCCCUGCUCUUGUGGGGUGCUCGAGUGGCGAACGGGUGAGUAACACGUGAGUAACCUGCCCUUGACUUUGGGAUAACUUCAGGAAACUGGGGCUAAUACCGGAUAGGAGCUCCUGCUGCAUGGUGGGGGUUGGAAAGUUUCGGCGGUUGGGGAUGGACUCGCGGCUUAUCAGCUUGUUGGUGGGGUAGUGGCUUACCAAGGCUUUGACGGGUAGCCGGCCUGAGAGGGUGACCGGCGACAUGGGGACUGAGAGACGGCCCAGACUCCUACGGGAGGCAGCAGUGGGAAAUAUUGCACAAUGGGCGGAAGCCUGAUGCGAAAACGCCGCGUGCGGGAUGACGGCCUUCGGGUUGUAAACCGCUUUGGCCGGUGACGAAGCGUGAGUGACGGUAAUGAGUAAAGAAGCACCGGCUAACUACGUG
rnacentral:rRNA from 1 species